ACGUCACCUGGGAACUAAGGUGAAAGAGAGUGUUAGAAUACUUUUUGGCAAGGAGAAAAUCCAGCAAAAUUGUGGCCACAGGCUGUGGUCUGGACAGAGUGCUAGGUGCCAGGACCCAACUAUUUGAGGUACCACUUGUUGCCUCCUGAGGUGUAUAUUAGCAGGCAGCUGGAAUCUGCAAAGGGAGGACUUGGAAUCCAGACGCUCUAGUACGAUCCCUGAUGGUCCAAUCUACUUGCACAUCUUCCACAAGCUUUGUAAUCACUAUAUCUCCAAAGACAGUGACUGGUUUGUUGUCCUCUGGCCAAUACUGAUGGCAUCUGAUCUGCAUUCA